rfam:Caprimulgus carolinensis contig99333, whole genome shotgun sequence.
UCCAGCGGUAGUCAGCUACCCAUUGCUGCUCAGUGCUUGUGAUAGUGUUAUGCUGCUGGGAGAGAAAGGCGCUGCCGAGUCUGCCCUGGCACUGCUGCUGCUGUUCUAGCGCUGAAUGGUGCCAGGGUUUGGCAGCACUCUGCAUGCUUGAGAGUGGAGUAACUCCUUCUCAGUGGAGUUAGUCCUGGAUUGGAUGCAGACAAG